CCAUCGGCCCCGCCCCUUCUCUCGAGUCACUUCCGUCCUGGGUGCGCCACGGGGCUCUGGGUGCGCCGCGGGGUCAGGCUGCCCGCGCCGCCGGUGCGUUCGGGUCUUGUAUCGCGAGGAGCUGGACUCAGUAAGGUCUCUGCGGAGCAGUCUUGGGUGUCCCGCUGGUCUCCCCGAAAAUGAGGGCGUCUUGCGCCCCGCGGAAGGCGCCGCUCCGCCGCCCUGAAAGACUGGCUUCUUCUGGGCGCUUCGCCUGGGUGCUUCUGCUGGCGCCGCUGCUCCUGCUGCCCACGUCCUCCGAUGCCUGUGAUGAUCCACCAAGAUUUGUCUCUAUGAAGCCCCAGGGUACCCUUAAACCCAGUUAUAGUCCUGGGGAGCAGAUUCUGUAUGAAUGUCGUCUGGGUUUCCAGCCAACAACUCCUGGUCAAGUCCCGGCUCUUGUUUGUCAGGAUAAUAAUACAUGGUCGUCUCUCCAGGAGGCCUGUAAAAGAAGACAGUGUCCUACCCUAGGUGAUCCCACAAAUGGCCAAGUUAUGCUUGUAAAUGGAAGUACUGAGUUUGGUUCACAGGCUCACUAUGUUUGUAAUAAUGGUUAUUACUUACUGGGGACAAGUAUUUCUUAUUGUGACAUUUCUGGAACUGGUGUGAACUGGAGUGAUAAUCCUCCAACAUGUGAAAAGAUUUUGUGUCAACCACCUCAAGAAAUUCAAAAUGGAAAAUACACCAAUAGCCACAAGGAAGUAUUUGAAUACAAUGAAGUAGUAACUUAUAGUUGUGAUCCUUCAAAUGGACCAGAUGAAUAUUCACUUGUUGGAGAGAGCAAGCUUACUUGUAUUGGAAAUGAUGAAUGGAGUAGUCAACCCCCUCAGUGUAAAGUGGUCAAAUGUGUAUAUCCAGCCAUUGAACAUGGAACGAUAGUCUCAGGAUUUGGACCAAAAUAUUACUACAAAGCGACGGUUGUACUUAAAUGCAAUGAGGGUUUUAACCUUCAUGGCAACAGUAUAGUUGUCUGUGGUGAGACCAGUACUUGGGAGCCUGAGCUACCAAAGUGUAUUAAAGUGUCGAUUCCUUCCAGCACCCACUCUCCAAUUCCUAGUACCCAACCUCCAGUUCCUAGUACCCAACCUCCAGUUCCCAGUGUCUCAGUGUCGACUCGCAGCACCCAACAUCCAGUUCCCAGUGUCUCAGCGUCGACUCGCAGCACCCAACAUCCAAUUCCCAGUGUCUCAGGAGAUCCCCCCCGUCCUACUGAAGCAUCACCCCCUAGCGGUGCUGAGGGUUUAGGUGCAGGAUACAUCGUGCUAAUCAUUGUGGCUAUUUUGAGUCUUGGCAGUGAUUUCUCCUGGUCACGUGACAUUUGUCUCCUGAUUUCUCGUAGUUAUUGGCAUUGGAUUAUUGUUCUGCCUGUACCGCUGUUUUUGCAGACAAAGGAAGAAAGGCACAUACGUAACUGGUGAGAGCCACAGACAAGACAUUUUAUUUCUCUCUGAGAAGAGAUGAGAGAAACGUUUGCUUUUAUCAUUAAAAGGAAACCAGAAUGUCACGGUACAUACUGUUCUAUUCCCUUAUAGGAAAGCAGAAUGUAGCGCUACGUACACCACUUAUCAGGAUAAAGCAGCCACUCCAACAGAAUAGAUGAACUGAACCGUUUCCAGGAACGCAUGUAUCAUUCAGCCAUGAAAAUGAAGGAAAUCUUGCCAUUUGCCACAAUACAGAUGGACCUUGAGGGGAUUUUGCUGGGUAAUAAGUCAUAUAAAGAAAGACGUGUGUACUGUCUGAUCUCACUUAUACGUGGAAUUGAAAAAAACAAGCUUUCACAGAAGAAAAAUGAGCUUUGUCGAUGUCAGCGGUGGGGGACUGGUGGGGGUGGGUUUGAGUAAAGGUGGUCAGAAAAUACAAACCUUCAGUUAUAGGGUGAGAAAGUACUGGGUGUAAUUACAGCACAGUGGCUACCGUGAGUUACUCAGACUGUAUUUAUAUUGGCAAGUUGCUAAGAGAGUGGAUCUUAAAAAGUUCUAAUCACAUGGAAGAAAAAAGCUUUUUGUAGGUAUUGACAUUAUCGAAUCAUGCUGUACACCUUAAACUUAACGCAAUGCUCUCUCUCAAUUUUGUCUCAAUACUGAAGGAAAAAAAGUAUAAAGAUUAUUUGCUGCUUUCUUACACUGUCAGAAAUAAAACUGCUAAGCGAUAGCCAUAGGAACAUUAAAACAUUUUAAUGUGGCAGAAGUAUAGUCACUAUUCUUUAAUGCUUCUUUGAAACAUGUAUGAAUUAGGUUUAAACGCCUUGCCUGUUUUUCCUUAAAUAGCACUGGAUUUAUGGGGUAGGUCAACAUGGCAUUCCUGGUAGUGUUAAGGUAGGGAAAUGUGUUUGUUUUUUUUUCUAUAAGAUCUCCAAACUCAGAGAACUAUAUUGCAAAAUGACAUUACAUUUCAUUUGCAAAGAAAGUGAUUUUGGAAUCUUUUUUUGUUCAGAGGUGAUUACCAAUUCUUAAGGUUCAUUCUUUGAGUUUCUUAACUAAGAAUAUUACUGGAAAAUACUCUUACAUUGAAUAGAUUAAAAUGCUAUUUUUAAAAAUGUGUAACCUCGUGGUAAUUUAGAGAUACUGUUGAGUUUUUAUCUGGCAUUUGUUCUUCACCCCUUUUAUUUAUAAUAAGCCAGUCUGAGAAACCAAGAAUUCAGCAUCAGUUUCAGGCUUCUAUACAAAGUUAGAGUACUCUUAGCACCCAUGGCAAUAAUGCCAGCUCAGGACAAAGUGAACGCUGUGGCCUUAUAGUUUUCUUAAGAAGAAUUCCACUUUAUUAUUAUUAUUAUUGUACUAUAGUUUUGUUUUGUUUUGUUUUGUUUUACACAACGUUGUGUCUGUUUCUGCUGAAGAAUUCUACUCUCUAAGAGAAUUAGAAUCCACUCUAAAGUCUGGCUCUAGGGGCUUUUCUCUGCCCACUUGGAUAAAGAUAUGUCUGUCUUUACACAUGUCAUCAGAAUGUAAGCAGUUUUGUAGGGAAUAAAUUCAUCAGAUAACCUCAGGUUGUAUCAGAAUCUUAAGUCUUUAUGGGCUCCUCACCUCAUCUGUAAAGGGCAGAGUAAAAAUGAAGCCCUGUAUUUCAGAAAAGCAAACUCAACUCCGUGGAUUAGCUGUAGGUCACGCAAAGGGAAGGAAAAAGGAGACAGCUCAGGGGGGUCUGGACACUAGGGUGGAACAGACCCCAGCCCGCUUCUCUGUCCUCACGCCAGGGGCCACAGAGGAGGGACUCUGCUCUGACUCAGAUUUUUACAGGUUUUGUUUUACACCUUAAAAAAAAAUUUUUUUUUUUUUUUUUUUUUAAAUUUUUUGGCCAUACCUUGACAUGCAGAGCUAUCCAAGCUGAGAUCAGACCUGUGCCCCCCACAGUGGAAGCAAAGAAACCCAAGCACUGGACCACCAAGAAGUGGAAGUCCUCACACUUCAUAGUUGGUAGCACAAACUGGGCCAAAGAAAAGUUGCCUUAGAAAGGUACGAAUGAGGACUCAAGGGUAAGCAAGAGUAAAUGCAGGUUUUCUCCCUGAGAACAUGUUUGUAAGGCCCUCUGUUAGUGGUCCUUCCCUUUGUAAUCUUGGGUAAGGCAUGUGGAAGAGAAGUUUGAACAGAAUACAUUCAGGAAUUCUGAGACAAAUCCAGAGUUGAAGUUCUGCUGCACCCUUUUUAUCACAUACUCUUUAAGAAUCUAACAGUUUCUCAGAAGCAUGGGGGUGGCUGUAGUACAUAUUUCUUAAAACCUCAAGGAAAUGCUUUCAACCAAAGUUUAUUGUGCUUACCAAAAUAGACUUUCACAAUAGUUUCCACUUCAAAUUUAGUUUUUCCAGUGUAACAUAUGUAAGAUUGAAAUAUGUGUACAUAUAAAUAAUGUUCUGUCAGCAAAUAACUUGUCAAUUACUUAAAUAUAUGGAGAAACCAUUUUUUUUCUAGAAAUGUCUGUCUGAAUGAGAGGGAAAAGUGUAUUUGAAUUUAAACUUAAAACUGCAAGAGUGAGUCCCCAGUGGAAUGAGACGUCUCAUGUCUGUAUUGUUUUCUGAGAAUUGAACCUUUGAGUCUGUUUAAAAAAUAAAAUGUCAUUAUGGAGAA